CAUGCUCAGGAUGAACGCUGGCGGCGUGCCUAAUACAUGCAAGUCGAGCGAACUGAUUAGAAGCUUGCUUCUAUGACGUUAGCGGCGGACGGGUGAGUAACACGUGGGCAACCUGCCUGUAAGACUGGGAUAACUUCGGGAAACCGAAGCUAAUACCGGAUAGGAUCUUCUCCUUCAUGGGAGAUGAUUGAAAGAUGGUUUCGGCUAUCACUUACAGAUGGGCCCGCGGUGCAUUAGCUAGUUGGUGAGGUAACGGCUCACCAAGGCAACGAUGCAUAGCCGACCUGAGAGGGUGAUCGGCCACACUGGGACUGAGACACGGCCCAGACUCCUACGGGAGGCAGCAGUAGGGAAUCUUCCGCAAUGGACGAAAGUCUGACGGAGCAACGCCGCGUGAGUGAUGAAGGCUUUCGGGUCGUAAAACUCUGUUGUUAGGGAAGAACAAGUACGAGAGUAACUGCUCGUACCU
rnacentral:rRNA from 2 species